rnacentral:rRNA from 1 species
AGAAAGUCUAUUUAAGAGCCGAGGAUGGAUGCCUUGGGUAAAAGAGCCGAUGAAAGGCGUGAUUGGCUGCGAAAAGCCACGGUCAGGUGCCAGUAACCGUUUAGCCGUGGAUUCCUGAAUGGGGUAACCCAUCGACUAUAAGUCGAUACCCUGACAGAUGUCAGGGAUGGUAAGCCGGCGAAGUGAAAUAUCUCAGUAGCCGGAGGAAGAGAAAUCGUAAGAGAUUCCCGUAGUAGUGACGAACGAACUGGGAAGAGUCUAAACCUAUAUAAUGUAAGGUGCUGACCGUUGUUAUAUGGGGGUUGAGGGAUGUGCUGUGAUCUGUCAGUAAAGAUCAAAGGAGUAAGAAAUCAGUGUCUUAGCAGAAGACGUUGGGAAGCGUCGCCAUAGAGGGUUAUAGUCCCGUAAGCGAAAAUUCAUUGACUCCUUAGUAUAUUCCCGAGUAGGAUCGGACACGUGAAAUCCGGUUUGAAUCUGGGCAGACCACUGUCUAAGACUAAAUACUCUUUUACACCGAUAGCGCAUAGUACCGUGAGGGAAAGGUGAAAAGUACCCCUGGAAGGGGAGUGAAAUAGAUCCUGAAAUCCUCGGCUUACAAGGGAGCAGGAGCCUUCGGGUGACUGCGUACCUAUUGUCGAAUGGGCCAACGAGUUAUUGGCAGUAGCAAGGUUAAGACACUUCGUGUCGGAGCCGUAGCGAAAGCGAGUUCGAAUAGAGCGCGAGUUGCUGUCAAUAGACCCGAAACUAUAUGAGCUACCCAUGAGCAGGCUGAAGGUAUGAGAAAUCAUGCUGGAGGGCCGAACGGGUUGGAGUUACAAGUCCUUCCGAUGACUUGUGGGUAGGAGUGAAAAGCUAAUCGAAUAUAGUGAUAGCUGGUUCUCCUCGAAAUGUAUUUAGGUACAGCCUGUAAUAGUAACUACGAGGGUAGAGCUCUGAUAAGGCUAGGGGGUCCGAGAGGACUUACCAAACCUUCUCAAACUUCGAAUAUCGUAGACACUAAUUAUGGAGUGAGGCCGCGGGAGAUAAGUUCAGCGGCCAAAAGGGAAACAGCCCAGACUUCUGACUAAGGUCCCUAAAUUAUAGCUAAGUGGAAAAGGAUGUUCUCCUGCUUAGACAUUCAGGAGGUUUGCUUAGAAGCAGCAAUCCUUUAAAGAGUGCGUAACAGCUCACUGAACAAGUGGGAGAGUGCCAAAGAUGUAACGGGGCUAAGCUAUAUACCGAAGUCGAAGACUUCCGCUAUGCGGAAGUGGUAGAGGAGCGUUCUGUACGGGAUGAAGUCACAUCGUGAGGUGUGGUGGACGGUACAGAAGUGAUAAUGUUGGCAUGAGUAACGCCGCACGAUGAAAAUUCGUGCCGCCGGAAACCUAAGGAUUCCUACGCAACGUUCGUCGGCGUAGGGUUAGUCGGGACCUAAGGCUAUGCCGAAAGGCUAUGUCGAUGGAAAGCUGGUUAAUAUUCCAGCACCUAUGUGUACCAGUGAUGGGGCAACACAUCGGGAUGUGUGAGAGCUCACUAAGGAUGUGAGUUGAGAAAACGAAACUAUUCUGACCUAGUCAGAAGGCCAUUUGCAGGGAAAUCCGCUUGUGGUAUACGUUAAGUUGGAUCAAGAGUUUAUCUUCGGAUAGGUUAUUCUCAUAGUUCUGGUGUCUAGAAAAACCUCUAAACGUUACGGUAUAUGUAGCCCGUACCCAGAUCAAACACUUGUGGGUAAGUAGAGAAUACUAAGGCGAUCGAGACAACUAAGAAUAAGGAACUCGGCAAAUCAGCAGGCGUAACUUCGGGAUAAGCCUUCCCCACAGCAAUGUGGGGCGCAGCGAAUGUCGUAGGGGGGACUGUUUAUCAAAAACACAGCUCACUGCCAACUCGUAAGAGGAUGUAUAGUGGGUGAUGCCUGUCCAGUAUCAGAAUGUCAAAUCCGCUUGUGCAAGCUCGCGGACCAAGCACUGAUAAACGACGGCCGUAACUAUGACGGUCCUAAGGUAGCGAAAUUCCUUGUCGGGUAAGUUCCGACCCGCAUGAAUGGCAUAACCAUCUCUACACUGUCUUGUUCUUAGACUCGGUGAAAUUACAAUCCCGGUAAAAAUGCCGGGUAGAUACGGUUAGACGGAAAGACCCCGUGAAGCUUUACUGAAGAUUGGUAUUGUGUCGUGGCAUAUGUUGCUCAGUAUAAGUGGGAGACUUUGAGACGGCGCCUUUGGGUGUCGAGGAGUCAUCAGUGAGAUACCACUCAUUAUAUGUUGCGUCACUAACCCCAUAGAAAUGGGGGACAGUGCUAGUUGGUUAGUUUACCUGGGGCGGGUGCCUCCGAAAGAGUAACGGAGGCGUACAAAGGUUAGCUUACCACGGAUGGAAACCGUGGUGAAAGUAUAUUCGCAUAAGCUAGCUUAACUGUGAGACUAACAGGUCGAGCAGAAUGGAAACAUGGUGAAAGUGAUCCGGAUAUACCGCGUGGAAGGGUAUCCGCUCAACGGAUAAAAGCUACUCCGGGGAUAACAGGCUAAUGGGAUCCAAGAGUCCACAUCGACGAUCCCGUUUGGCACCUCGAUGUCGGCUCGUCGCAUCCUGGGGCUGUAGAAGGUCCCAAGGGUUGGGCUGUUCGCCCAUUAAAGCGGGACGCGAGCUGGGUUCAGAACGUCGUGAGACAGUUCGGCCCCUAUCUGCCGUAUCCGUAGGAAAUUUGAGAAGAUCUGCUCCUAGUACGAGAGGACCGGAGUGGACUAGCCUCUAGUGUUUCAGUUGUUCUGUCAAGGGCAUUGCUGGGUAGCUACGCUGGGAAAGGAUAACCACUGAAAGCAUCUAAGUGGGAAGCCAACUUCAAGAUUAGGUUGCCCAUCCUUCGGGAGUAAGGUCACUUGUAGACUACAAGUUUGAUAGGUGUCGUGUGGAAGCUCCGUAAGGAGUGAAGCAGAGACAUACUAAUAGACCGAGGGACUUUCU